rnacentral:piRNA from 1 species
UGACAUCUCAGAUUCUCUCUUCGGAACGCCU